rnacentral:rRNA from 1 species
CACCGCGGUUAGACGAGAGGCCCCAGUUGAUAUUUUAACGGCGUAAAGGGUGGUUAAGGAUAAACAAAAAUAAAGCCAAAUGGCCCCUCGGCCGUCAUACGCUUCUAGGUGUCCGAAGCCCUAACACGAAAGUAGCUUCAAUAAACUAACCUGAACCCACGAAAGCUGAGGAA